rnacentral:rRNA from 1 species
GAUCCUGGCUCAGGAUGAAUGCUAGCGACAGGCUUAACACAUGCAAGUCGAGGGGCAGCAUAGAAGUAGCAAUACUUGGUGGCGACCGGCGCACGGGUGAGUAACGCGUAUGCAACCUACCUAUCAGAGGGGAAUAACCCGGCGAAAGUCGGACUAAUACCGCAUAAAACAGGGGCACCGCAUGGUGAUAUUGUUAAAGAAAUUCGCUGAUAGAUGGGCAUGCGUUCCAUUAGGUAGUUGGUGAGGUAACGGCUCACCAAGCCGACGAUGGAUAGGGGAACUGAGAGGUUGGUCCCCCACACUGGUACUGAGACACGGACCAGACUCCUACGGGAGGCAGCAGUGAGGAAUAUUGGUCAAUGGGCGGGAGCCUGAACCAGCCAAGUCCGCGUGAAGGAAGAAGGAUCUAUGGUUCGUAAACUUCUUUUGCAGGGGAAUAAAGUGCAGGACGUGUCCUGUUUUGUAUGUACCCUGAGAAUAAGGAUCGGCUAACUCCGUGCCAGCCGCCGC